UGGCAUCCAAUUAUAAGGAAGGCAGCAGGCGCGCAAAUUACCCAAUCCCGACACGGGGAGGUAGUGACAAUAAAUAACAAUACAGGCGCUGGAUAAGAGUCUUGUAAUUGUCAUGGGUACAAUUUAAACCCCUUAAAGAUUAACAACUGGAGGGCAAGUCUGGUGCCAGCAGUCACGGUAGUUCCAGCUCGAAGAGCGUAUAGUAAAGUUGUUGCAGUUAAAAAGCUCGUAGACCGAUUAGGAGACGUGAAUUUCAAGCACCCGUGUCGUUGGGUCAAACCAGCGACUGCGUUGCCGUUGCGGGCUCGGUCCGUCGGUGGCCACACAAAUGGCCACUGACGUGUCAACCGGCCCGCCCGUCCCCUCCUUCUGGAUUCCCGUUCCUGCUAUUGAGUUAGUGGGGACGUCACAGGGGGCUCAUCGU
rnacentral:rRNA from 1 species